AUGACAAGGUCGUAAAGUUUAAUGGGGAGAAACCCUGUAUCGGUGUCAUUCUCUGCUCUAAAACCUUACUCGCUCUGCAACUGUCCGAGAGUUUUCAACAAAACCCUAACAACACCAAAAAUGAAAACCCUAGACGAAUCUGACGUGGGAAUCUUCUGCUUCAUCUCCGACCUUCCUGGUUUUCGUGGCAUCCUCAAACAAAGGUAUUCUGACUUUAUUGUCAAUGAGGUAGAUACUGAAGGAAAUGUUGUUCAUUUGACCUGUUUAGAUGCACCUCCAGAGGCUGUGGUGGAGCAUAAGGAAGUAAAGAGAUCAGAUCAACUGAAUAAAAGUUAUGCUUCUGAAAUCGAAUUGUUCAGAUCACUUGCAGGUGAUUCUGAUGCAGAUUGUUUGGAACAUCUGAUUAAUCAAAUUACUUCUGGCAAUGAUAAAGACAGCAUUUCGCCCAUAGUUCUUUCUGCUAAUUCAGAUAAAUGUCAUCGAACGACAAUACAUAAUUUCUUUAAGGAGAACUUCAAAUUCCUAGUCACAGACACAAUUGAAGGCCCUGAUAAUUCAUCAAAAUGUAUACGCGUGAGAUUAAAUUCAGGAGGGAAUACUGGCAGUGGUCGAAAUUCUAAAAAACGGAAAGAGAGAGGUGAAAACCCUUUCGAUAGCAGAGGUUCAGAAAAUUGGCCUGAGCAUCAAGGCAAAUUCCUCAGGUUUCAUCUAUACAAAGAGAACAAGGAUACUCAGGAGGCCUUGGGGCUGAUAACUAAGAUGCUUGGCGUCCAGCCGAGAUCAUUUGGUUUUGCAGGUACAAAAGAUAAGCGCUCAGUCUCAACACAAAGGGUAACUGUUUUCAAGCAGCAUGCAAGUAGAUUAGCUGCUUUGAAUAAAAGGUUGAUUGGCAUCCAAGUUGGUGACUUUUGUUAUGUCAAGGAAGGUCUUCUUCUUGGGCAGCUCCAAGGAAAUCGAUUCACAGUCACAUUACGAGGAGUUGUUGCAGAUUCAGAAGAUGUCAUCAAGGCAUCUGCUAACUCAUUGGGAAGGCUUGGGUUCAUCAACUACUUUGGUUUGCAACGUUUUGGUAGUGGUUCUGUGCCAACUCAACUUAUUGGAGCCACAUUACUUAAAGGAGAGUGGAAAGCUGCUGUAAGCAUGAUUCUUGAUCCAAGAGAAGGAGAAAGAAGUGAGAUAAGCAAGGCAAGACAAUAUUAUAAGGAAACUGAUGACAUUGAUGGGACCCUAAGAAAACUACCUCGCCAUUUAGUUGCUGAAAGGGCUAUUCUGCAGUGUUUGAAGAAAUGUCCUGGGAAUUACUUGCAGGCCCUGAAGGCUAUACCUAGGACUUUGAGAAUGAUGUAUGUACAUAGUUAUCAAAGCUACUUGUGGAACCAUGCAGCAAGUAUGAGAGUGAAAAAAUACGGAACUGAGCAAGUUGUGGUGGGAGACUUAGUAUAUUCUAAAGGAGAUAAUACUGAGAAAGAGAUGACGUUUGUUAAUUCUGAAUCUGAGGAUGAAAAUAGUAAUGACGAAGAUGAUUGUGGUCGAUUAGAUGAGGUCUCAGCUACAGAUCUUCCUGUAGGAACAAAUAAUCUUGUUAAGACUGUAACUGCAGAAGAUGUCCAUAGUGGAAAAUAUACUAUUGGUGAUAUCAUCCUUCCUAUGCCUGGUUCCCGGGUGAUAUAUCCCAUUAAUGAUGUUGCUGAAGUUUAUCAUAAUCUGGCAAAGAAGGACGGGAUCAGCUUGACAGAGCGUGUUCAUAAUGUCAAGGAAUUUUCAAUAAUCAGUAUGACUGGAAGUUACCGGCAGGUGUUUCAGAAGCCGUUGGAUUUUGAAUGGGAGUUGCUGAAGUACACUGAUUCCAGUAAACCAUUAGCUGAGACAGAUUUGGACAAAAUUGCCAAAGCUAAACAUCUGAACAUUAUAAAAGUAGAGGAACUGGUAGCUGGAGUUGAGAAAAAAGAUCCAUCUGAUUGCAUGGAACAUUCAGAAAGCUUAGAAAAUGUAGUAAAGCUUUCAACUGACGAUAAUGAAGCAGAUUGCGGCGGAGAAUUAAGUGUGCCACAAGGCAAAUCGCUUAAUGGCUCUGAAUCUGAGGAACUCCAGACGGCACUGAAGUUGGGUUUUACUCUUCCCACUUCAUGUUAUGCGACAAUGGCCAUAAGAGAGCUUCUGAAAACAUCAACAUCUGUUGCAUUCCACAAAACAUUAAACCAGUGAGCAAAUCACCUCUUGUUGCGAUUUGGUAUUGUAAUCCAUGAGAAUCAAAUAUAAAGAGCAGGGAAAUUAGGUUUAGGUGGCGCCACAAGUGAAGCCAAACUAUUGUUAAUUUGCUGAUUUAGCAAUUCCAUUAUGGCUUUUAUUACAACUGAGUUUGUGAUGAUCAAGUCAAAAGAUUUGGAGGUCUUAUGAGAGUUCUCUUGCUUGAUGAUCUUCCAAAGCUCCAUCUCUUCAUACCGGGUGUUGUUAGUGGCACACUUUCUUUAAGAAAAACAUCUUUCUUUUUGUCUUUCUCCUGAUCCUUUCUUCCUAACAAGAAGUUUAUCAUCCAUUUUUCUGCCUUUCCCAUCUCUAAUAGUAUUUCUAGCAGCUAAUUAUUUGAAUUGAUUGUGCAUGGAACUUUGGUCAUGUCUAAUCAUGUCAACUCAUGCAUUCCUGUCUCAAUACUAUAUUUUUGAUAUUAUGUUUCUUCUUUUA